AUCCCAGGCGGGCAGCAAACCCCGCAGGGAAGGGCUGGGCACUGCCAGGAGCGAGGCUGGGACGUGCCCAGCACAACAAUCCCACUGGGAACACGCGCAGCCCCUGCCCAGGAGAGGCCCAGGGCACUCCCAGAUCAACCCCAGUGCAAACUGGGCCAGGAGCUGCUCAGUUAACUGGUUUGACAUUUAGCAGGGACAGGGCCAGCACCGCAGCCUCCUCCACAGGAAAGCAGCAGGAAACUGGGGUUGCAACAAAACAAGAGAGAAAAUGACACCAAGUCGAUGUGGGCAGCUGGUUGGAAAAUGUCACUGAAAGAGAAAUCAGGUCUUCACAACAAGCCACCACUUAGAGCUCCAAAGGCGAAGUGAAAAAAAGAGGAAAUGAGGGAAAAGUGUUUCUUUUCCUUGUGUCAGGACGAUGCUCUAGAACCACAACACAAACACAUUCAGCCAUGCUGAGUUAGAGCGAGCUGACAGCAGAUCUCAUCACACCUGAGAUCCUCCUGCCCCUCUAAGAACUCCUGUCAGACCCAGACAAUUCCAGCUCCCACUCCAGGCGCUCUGUUUUCCCUUUGGAACACCAGGAAUGCGGAUGAUGCUUGGAAGAGACUGUGCUCCAGGAUGGCCCCAGCUCCCCGGCAAAGGGAAUUAUUUCCCUUUCCCCACUGCAGGAUGAUGCACCAUUUCCUCCAAACAGCACCACAGGCCCGACAGCCGCCCGGGGAGCCCAGCCGCGCUCCCGGCUCCCACUCCCGGCGAGCCCGGCUGGGCUCCUGCCCCGGGGCCGGGCUCCCGGUGCGGCCAGGCCACAAGCUGUCACCCCCGCUGCUGCUGCUCCUCACGGCGCCGCUCGCACUCCGGCCCGCUCGUGCUCCCCCAGCCGGCUCCAGGCUCCCCGCAGCCCCCGGCCCCCAGCCUGGCGAUCUCCAGGAAUCCCCGCUCCAGGUGAGAAGUGCUGCUCCUGGCCAGGGGCUGCCACGUCCACCCACGGCUGGCUGCUGGAUGAUUGGGAAUGUUCUCCACAGCGUCCCAGGUUUUCCUGGCAAGCGAAUCCUCCUCUGAGCAAUCCUCGGGUGCUGCUGCAUUCCUUCGUGUCCCCGAGUGCUGCCCGUGGUGACAGAGCAGCAGGUGAUGCUGUGCUGAUGAAGAAAUGGCUCUGUGAGGUGCAGGGCUGGUGUUUGCAUUCCCGUGCUGGCCACACGCUUCUCCUGGAAACCGCCUUUCAUGCCUCUUCCAUUCCCGUUUUAUAUCCCCACCUAAGCUGCGGAUUUUUAGCGAUGUGUUUCUCCUCUCAGAGCUGAAGUAGCAGAGGAAAUUGCAGCACCAGUUUUGCAGACAACAAAGAGAUGCCCCCUCCUCCCCGGCAGCCUCUCUGUGAGCAGAACAAACAGAAAUCCUCCUUUGAUCCAGCACUGGCCAAGUGUCACUCUGCAGUGGGCAAGUCAAGUUCCUUUUCAGGAUCUCCUGAUCAAAAUCCUCUUGUUCCCAGGAAGUGAAAAAUUAAAUUGGGCACCUGUGGAAAUGGAGGUGGGGUUUCACCUCUCUUUGCUAAAGUUAUUUAGGCUCAGCUCUGUCCCCUUUAGUGGCUGGGAGAAGAGAAUUA